GAAGGGUUCAUCCUAGAGGUCACAGGGAGCAUGAAGGGGUGUGAACAGGGCACCAUUUCGUUCUGGGCGGAACAGUGGUCUCCGAGGUUGGAUAGGGAUUCUUUUAUUUUUUAAGAGCAUUUUUAUUUUUAUAUAAUUUUUAAAUUUUAUUUAAAUCCAAGCUAGUUUAACAUACAGCGUAACGGUGGUUUCGGGUGUAAAGUUGAGUGAUUCAUCACUUACAUAUAAAACCCAGCACUCAUCACAGGUGCCCUCCCUCCUUAAUGCCCAUCACCCGUUUAGCCCAUCCCCCCACCUAUGGAUAGAGAUUUUAGAAUCAGCUGACACGAGAGAAUCUUCUAGAACUUUUGCAGCUUUUAAAAGAGGCUCGCGGUGGCAUUUCCUCCCUUUCCUACAGUCGGGCGAGCUCAGGAGACUCCUGUGAAUGGAGCUCUGGGCAGGUGAACCUGUCUGGGCUUAGCCUGGUGCUAUUGCUGACCUACGGGGUCUUACACAGGCCGUGUCCCUGUUCUGACCGGACUCCUCGUCUGGAGAAAAUCAUUCGGAAAUCAUCCAGCCCGCCUCCAGCAUAGCAGUGUGCUGACAGUUUUGUGCCCACUUGAGCAGCACAUCCACCGACACUGGGCGACACGGAGGAGACCGGCGUGGCCCGACACGGUCCGUAUUUCUUCACCAGCCUCCACCAUUCUCCGAAACAGGAAUUGAAACACAGAAGAAGGACAAGAAAAAGACUGCUGCCGGGGAUGUGCAUAGACCAGGCUGUGACCUGAGAUGCACUUCAAAGUGCGGGGAAAAUAGACCCCCGUGUGCGGGGAGGGUCAGGGUUGAGCUGCGGGCCUGGGGCUUCACUGCACCGUGAUCUCUCCUUGGUAGAGAUUUGACACCUCCCAUAAUUACGCUGGUUCUGAAGAUGAAAACAAGUAAGUCAGAAGUGGGGAAAGUGAGGUUUUCGCUCAGCAGUGGAGCCUAAUUCUGACGAGUCCAGGUGGGGUCAGAAGGGACCGUUGCCGGGCCACCUGGGUGGCUCAGGCGGUUAAGCGUCCAACUUCGCAUGUCCCAGUUGGUGGGUUCGAGCCCCGCGUGGGGCUCUGGGCUGACACAGCUUGGAGCCUGGAGCCUGCAGACCCCUGCCUGCACUGGCGCCCCUCCCCUGGGUUCCUAGAGGCCGACGGACAGCAAGGCUUUCACGCCCUGUCUGCCCCAGGGAGGGGUCGGUGUCCGCGCCCCUACACGGGUGGCCCAAAGCCUUGCUGGGCUUCACUUCCCAGGGCCAGGCUGAUGCGGGGCAGACAGAAGAGCCUUCCCACCCUUCAGACCUCGGGGCUCCCGCCAGAUGUGUUAAGCUCCCCUCCCCCCCCCGCAUCAGCACACCGGUGUAGUGAGCCGUUAGCCUGGGACGGCGCCCCGGGUCCUGGCUCUGAACCUGGGCCUCUUUUCUCACCCUCCGUGGUCUCCCCGCAUAAGCCUCUGGAGGGGCUUGUGGGGGCCUCUUGCACUUGUACGUUUUCGGUUCAGCCACCUGCUUGGAGCCCCGAUGGGGAGCUGAGGCAGGCUGGCCGGCCUCUGUGUCCCCCAGAGUGUGGACCCGAGUCCAUGCGCCCCGGAACCCACCCCCUCACCUCCUCUGAGUGGUGCUGCGCGUGCCCCCUCCUACACACAGACCCCCACCUGCCCCUCCCUGAUCCCACUCGGCCCCCCGUCUCCCCAGGAGCCCUGUCUUCCCAAGUCCUCCCAAGAGCCCACGGAUGUGGUGAUCGACGGCCAUCCCCAUUUUACAGGCAGGUGCGGGGAUGAAGGGAGCAGACACACGUGAGGUGCAAGGCUCAGUGGGGCUUUGCGGUCUGCCCUCCUCGGUGUGGGUCCGGGCUGCCUGCGAGGGACCGGAGGACGAAGCAACAAGAGAACCCCAAAUUCCAGGCACUGUUUCCAAGAAAAUGAGCGUUCCCAUGUCCGUGGUGAAGGAGGUUAAUGCAACAAGGAAUAAAGGCAGAAAGGACA